UACAGAGGUCCCAAGCGUUGUUCGGAUUCAUUGGGCGUAAAGGGUGCGUAGGCGGUGCGAUAAGUCAGGCGUGAAAGGCCCGGGCUCAACCCGGGGACUGCGCUUGAUACUGUUGCGCUGUGAGUCCGGGAGAGGAUGGCGGAAUUCCCAGUGUAGAGGUGAAAUUCGUAGAUAUUGGGAAGAACACCGGUGGCGAAGGCGGCCAUCUGGACCGGCACUGACGCUGAGGCGCGAAAGCGUGGGGAGCAAACAGG
rnacentral:rRNA from 1 species